CGUGAAACUGCGAAUGGCUCAUUAAAUCAGUUAUCGUUUAUUUGAUAGUACCUUACUACUUGGAUAACCGUGGUAAUUCUAGAGCUAAUACAUGCUAAAAACCCCGACUCCGGAAGGGGUGUAUUUAUUAGAUAAAAAGCCAAUGCCCUUUGGGGCUCUUUGGUGAUUCAUAGUAACUUAACGGAUCGCAUGGCCUUGCGCCGGCGACGGUUCAUUCAAAUUUCUGCCCUAUCAACUUUCGAUGGUAAGGUAUUGGCUUACCAUGGUUUCAACGGGUAACGGGGAAUUAGGGUUCGAUUCCGGAGAGGGAGCCUGAGAAACGGCUACCACAUCCAAGGAAGGCAGCAGGCGCGCAAAUUACCCAAUCCCGACACGGGGAGGUAGUGACAAUAAAUACUGAUACAGGGCUCUUUUGGGUCUUGUAAUCGGAAUGAGUACAAUUUAAACCCCUUAACGAGGAACAAUUGGAGGGCAAGUCUGGUGCCAGCAGCCGCGGUAAUUCCAGCUCCAAUAGCGUAUAUUAAAGUUGUUGCAGUUAAAAAGCUCGUAGUUGAACCUUGGGCCUGGCUGGCUGGUCCGCCUCACCGCGUGUACUGGUCCGGCCGGGCCUUUCCUUCUGGAGAGCCCCAUGCCCUUCACUGGGUGUGUGGGGGAACCAGGACUUUUACUGUGAAAAAAUUAGAGUGUUCAAAGCAGGCCUUUGCUCGAAUACGUUAGCAUGGAAUAAUAGAAUAGGACGUGCGGUCCUAUUUUGUUGGUUUCUAGGACCGCCGUAAUGAUUAAUAGGGAUAGUCGGGGGCAUCAGUAUUCAAUUGUCAGAGGUGAAAUUCUUGGAUUUAUUGAAGACUAACUACUGCGAAAGCAUUUGCCAAGGAUGUUUUCAUUAAUCAGUGAACGAAAGUUAGGGGAUCGAAGACGAUCAGAUACCGUCGUAGUCUUAACCGUAAACUAUGCCGACUAGGGAUCGGGCGAUGUUUCUAUUUUGACUCGCUCGGCACCUUACGAGAAAUC
rnacentral:rRNA from 1 species